AAAUGAAAUUGGUUGGAAAAUUCCCAUAAUGACUAUGCCGCAUUUGUUGUAGGUCCCCACUGCUCCCACCCACUCUGUGACCAAUAAGUUUUCACGCCUAAGCAUUGUUUACGGAACAUUUAACAAUUGCAGCGUCAGCGAAAACAAAAACACAACUCAUUUUAAAUGUAGAGAAGAUGCGGACUUAAAGUGGCUUUAAACAGCCGCUGGACACAUACUUAGUGAGAGGCACUGUCGACCAGUGUAGAGCGGUUGCGGAGGCAGACAUUCGAACGGCGGUAGGACGAAAGGACGAGCCAAGCAAUUGGCUACAUUGUAAGGAUGCGCUGGUGGUGGUGAUGGACAUUUGGAGAGACAGAUGAAGAGGCGGACAGUCGGACAGACCGGCGUCGUCUUUGAACUUUUCACAAUGCUCUCGUCUUGGGCUGUCCUGAAACAUUUGUACCACACUUUAUGCAGGACAUUUCCGCGC
rnacentral:sRNA from 1 species